AUGUGCAUUGGAGGAGGUUCAGUGCAGCAUUUUGGAGAUGGAACAAAGCUCACAGUUCUAGAAAGGGAAAUUCUACAACCUAAGGUUUCCAUAUUUGAGCCAUCAAUAAAAGAAAUAAAACAGAAAAAGAAAGCAACUCUUGUCUGUGUGGCAUAUGACUUCUAUCCAGAUCAUGUCAGCAUCACGUGGAAGAUGAAUGGAGUGGCUGCAGUUGAGGGGAACUUUAAAACCGAUGAUUAUCCAGCUAAAAAUGAUAACCUCUACAGCAUGAGCAGUCGUCUGAGGGUUCAUUCAUCUGAUUAUCUUAAUCAUGAGAAGCGUUUUCAAUGCAUUGUCAAUUUCAUGCUGAAUGAUGCCAAUGUAACUACCACAGUCCGAGAGAUACCUGGUAAAGAAGCAUGUGGAGUCACUCCAGGUCCCUCCCAUCUAGCAACGAGGCAGGCCAUACUUUGCUUGGGCCAUGCACAAGCCUUGGGAUUCACGUCUGCCCCACCUCUGGUUCUGAAGCAGUUUCAGCAAAAGCUCAAAUCAGCCCUGGGAAAUUUCAACUUACUUUUAUAUACAAGCCUUCCUUUACAAUUAAUCAUUAGCUGA